rnacentral:rRNA from 1 species
GACGAACGCUGGCGGCGUGCUUAACACAUGCAAGUCGAACGGAAAGGCCCUGCUUUUGUGGGGUGCUCGAGUGGCGAACGGGUGAGUAACACGUGAGUAACCUGCCCUUGACUUUGGGAUAACUUCAGGAAACUGGGGCUAAUACCGGAUAGGAGCUCCUGCUGCAUGGUGGGGGUUGGAAAGUUUCGGCGGUUGGGGAUGGACUCGCGGCUUAUCAGCUUGUUGGUGGGGUAGUGGCUUACCAAGGCUUUGACGGGUAGCCGGCCUGCGAGGGUGACCGGCCACAUUGGGACUGAGAGACGGCCCAGACUCCUACGGGACGCAGCAGUGGGGAAUAUUGCACAAUGGGCGGAAGCCUGAUGCAGCAACGCCGCGUGCGGGAUGACGGCCUUCGGGUUGUAAACCGCUUUCGCCUGUGACGAAGCGUGAGUGACGGUAAUGGGUAAAGAAGCACCGGCUAACUACGUG